GAAGUUUGUUGUACGAUGUGAAAAAUAGUCACCUUACCUACACUAGGUGAUUCUGAAUGUGAUGAGGCACUUAAUCUCUUCUUCAAGUUUUCAACACUAUUUUCUUGAGGU